AAGAAGAAAGGCGUCGACGAGUUCCGUUCUGCGUCCACCUCGUCUCCUGGGAGAAGGAGAACGUCUCCAGCGAGGCUCUCAAGGCGGCGCGUAUUGCAGGUAACAAGUACAUGGCCAAGUUCGCCGGGAAAGACGCGUUCCAUCUACACGUUAGGGUUCAUCCUUUCCAUGUGCUCCGCAUCAAUAAGAUGCUCUCUGGUAUGAGGGGGGCUUUGGGAAGCCUCUUGGGACAUGCGCUAGGGUUGAUAUCGGACAGGUGUUGCUCUCUGUGAGGUGCAAGGAUAGCAACAAGAACAAUGCUUGUGAGGCUCUCAGGAGGGCUAAGUUUAAGUUCCCCGGUCGCCAGAAGAUCAUUGAGAGCAGGAAGUGGGGAUUUACCAAGUUCAACCGUGUUGACUAUGUGAGAUUGAAGUCAGAGAAACGCCUCCUUCCUGAUGGUGUCAAUGCUAAGGUUAUGUGGAUAGCAAUUCAAUGGGCCUUCCCUUUUCCUAGGUUUGGUAUUGAUGAUCACUCUAGCUACAUGAUUGAAAUGGAGCAACAGUCACCAGUAAUAGAGAUUAUGCAUGUGUAUGUUGCAGCAGUGCCUCUAAGAGCCACAAAAAAGGACAUGUCCGGCUCCUCACCUCUACUGCUGACUCUCUCUCAGUCUCUUGAAAGCUUCUGUCCUUCAUGGGAUCUGCACAAAAGCAUAUUGCUCAAGGAGAAGGAGAGGUUGUUUUGCAUUGAUGUAGGUAAUGACGAGCAUCGCGGACGAUGGAACUUCAACAACAAGAGGUUCAUCAAACAGAUCUUCUCUGUAAGAGAGGCCGAACAUGGCGGAUUCAGGGUUGUUGGGUUUUGCUGUGAGGAAGAGAAUGGAAUAUUCGUUAAUAUUUUUUGGGCUGAGACAGGAGAAGAGAAAUAUGGGUUUUCUAAUCGAUUUUGCCAGUUUCCUACUUCCUCCAAGUAUAAGGAUAUGUGGCCGGAUUUGACUCAGACCAAAGAUGGAGGCUUGGACAUGAUAAACCUAUGUGUUUUGGGAUGGGCAAGAUCCAAGCCCAGGAAAGCUUUGUCUUUGUUUCAAAAUGUUAGUAUUUUUAAGGAUAGAUAUGAUGUGAUCAAGUUCAUCAAGCUGGCACAGCAACAUGGCUUAUAUAUUCAUCUCCAUAUUGGUCCUGAUAACAGGUUAAGGCUGCAAAAUGUGCACAGAAGCGUGUUGGAUAUACACAUUAAAGAUUUGGCUGGGUUGGAUAAUCAAUUUCAAACCUUUACUGAGGUUUUGGAAUCAGUUGUGAGUGGUUUUGAAGCUGCGAAAGAAGAAGAUGUCUAUGGGUGUUCGAUUUCGCUGAUCACUGUUGUUGCGAGUUUGGGUUUCAAUCAAGCAUCAAGAAUAAUUCAAGAUAAUGAGGGAGGGGUUUAG